GACGAACGCUGGCGGCGUGCCUAACACAUGCAAGUCGAGCGGAGUCGAUCGACGGAAGCCUUCGGGCGGAAGAUGGUUGACUUAGCGGCGGAUGGGUGAGUAACGCGUGGGCAACCUGCCUCGAAGACCGGGAUAACAGCCCGAAAGGGCUGCUAAUACCGGAUGUGGUCAAGGAUCCGCAUGGAUUUUUGAUUAAAGGGGAAACCCGUUUCGAGAUGGGCCCGCGUCCUAUCAGCUAGUUGGUGAGGUAAAAGCUCACCAAGGCGACGACGGGUAGCCGGCCUGAGAGGGUGACCGGCCACACUGGAACUGAGACACGGUCCAGACUCCUACGGGGGGCAGCAGUGGGGAAUCUUCCACAAUGGGCGAAAGCCUGAUGGAGCGACGCCGCGUGAGCGAAGAAGGCCUUCGGUUGUAAGCUCUGUCUGGAGGGACGAAGGAAGUGACGGUACCUCCGGAGGAGCCACGGCUAACUACGUGCCAGCAGCCGCGGUAAAGUACUACUAU
rnacentral:rRNA from 1 species